AACCUGGUUGAUCCUGCCAGUAGUCAUAUGCUUGUCUCAAAGACUAAGCCAUGCAUGUCUAAGUAUAAACGCUUCUAUACUGUGAAACUGCGAAUGGCUCAUUAAAUCAGUUAUAGUUUAUUUGAUGGUUUCUUACUACUUGGAUAACCGUGGUAAUUCUAGAGCUAAUACAUGCACAAAGUCCCGACUCUUCGGAAGGGAUGUAUUUAUUAGAUCCAAAACCAAUGCGAGUCUCUCGGGGCUCGGUUUCUUGGUGAUUCAUGAUAACUGCUCGAACCGUAUGGCCCUUGCGCCGACGGUGCUUCAUUCAAAUUUCUGCCCUAUCAACUUUCGAUGGUACGGUAGUGGCCUACCAUGGUUGCAACGGGUGACGGAGAAUUAGGGUUCGAUUCCGGAGAGGGAGCCUGAGAAACGGCUACCACAUCCAAGGAAGGCAGCAGGCGCGCAAAUUACCCAAUCCCGACUCGGGGAGGUAGUGACAAUAAAUAACAAUGCCGGGCUAUUGUAGUCUGGCAAUUGGAAUGAGUACAAUCUAAAUCCCUUAACGAGGAACAAUUGGAGGGCAAGUCUGGUGCCAGCAGCCGCGGUAAUUCCAGCUCCAAUAGCGUAUAUUAAAGUUGUUGCAGUUAAAAAGCUCGUAGUUGGAUUUCGGGGUGGCCUGCCUGGUCCACCGCAAGGUGAGUACUGGUCAGCCGCCCUUCCUCUCGAAAGCCCCGACUGCUCUUCACUGCAGUGGUCGGGUAGUUCGGGACGUUUACUUUGAAAAAAUUAGAGUGUUCAAGGCAGGCUAUCGCCUGAAUACAUUAGCAUGGAAUAAUGGAAGAGGACCUCGGUCCUAUUUUGUUGGUUUCUAGGGCCGAAGUAAUGAUUAAGAGGGACAGUUGGGGGCAUUCGUAUUUAAUUGUCAGAGGGUGAAAUUCUUG
rnacentral:rRNA from 1 species